CCUACGGGUGGCAGCAGUGGGGAAUAUUGCACAAUGGGGGAAACUCUGAUGCAGCGACGCCGCGUGAAGGAAGACGUAUCUCGGUAUGUAAACUUUUAUUAACAGGGAAGAAAAUGACGGUACCUGACUAAGAAGCUCCGGCUAACUAAGUGCCAGCAGCCGCGGUAAUACGUAGGGGGCAAGCGUUAUCCGGAUUUACUGGGUGUAAAGGGAGCGUAGGCGGUUUAGCAAGUCAGAAGUGAAAGCUCGGGGCUCAAUUGCAGGACUGCUUUUGAAACUGUUGAACUGGAUUGCAGGAGAGGUGCGUGGAAUUCGUGGUGUCGCGGUGAAAUGCGCAGAUAUUAGGAAGAACACCAGUGGCGAAGGCGGCUUACUGGACUGUGAAUGACGCUGAGGCUCGAAAGCGUGGGGAGCAAACAGGAUUAGAUACCCGUGUAGUC
rnacentral:rRNA from 1 species